CUUACACGGGAUAGUGGACUUCCUUACACGAGAUAGUGUAGCAGUCGAUCGAAUUUCUACAAAUUCGAUUUCUAGGAUCUACAACUCCUGCACGCAAGCCACGUGGAGUAACCUAUUUUUUUUCUUGUAAACCAAUGCGCGUUAAAGCAAUUCCACCCGUAAUAACAUAAAUGAAAAAAGAAAAUUAAGAUUUUACCUGAUAAUUUGAGAAAAUAGGUUUUAAAGGAAAUUCAAAAUAAAGAUUGGGCGUCGAUGAUGAUGUGCAAAAUCCCUGAGAAAGUGUGUUGCUCACUGAUUCAGACCAACAAUGAUUGCACUGCAUGUUUCAUCAGACAACCUUAAAAAUUCAAUUGCAUGGGAGAGCAACGGAACAGUAGAGCAAAAGGCAGUGUAUGUGAGAGGGCAGAGGAUUUACAAGUACAACAGCAACAUCAGAGAUUCCAGAAGCUCCGGUUUCGAGCUCUGAGCAAAGGUCUAGUCCUAGGUUCAAGGCUACAUUUGGGGAGGAUGGACAUUUUGGAUUGUGGCAUGUAUAUAAUUGUUGGAUUCAGCUUCAAGUCUUCUGAUUUGGGUUUUCGACACUUCAUGUUUCCGAGAUGCCAAUCUCAAGUUAUGAUGUUAUCUUUGGACAAAGGGUUGAUUACUGAGUGGUGAAAAAAGGGAUGUUUCGGGAGAAAGGCUAUUCUAUUCUUGUUGGGGGUGGCUGUGUAAAAGCAGUAGCUGAUAGAUUUGAGGACAUAAAUCUUUACAUCUCAACGAGGGUGUGGCUCUUUGAUUUUAGUGGCAAGAUUUAUGUAGGGCACUUUUGCAUUCAAAGGCAUUUCAGUUGCAGUCUGUUGCUAGUUUGGCUAGGGUUUUGCUUGUUAAAUAUUAUGAGCAAAUCUGGUCUUGAUUCUUGCAUUCUGAAGUGAUCUUCUCUCUCUACAUGCCCACUUUUUGUGUUUCUAGGGUUUUAAAUUUUUAUCAACUAGUAGCCUACUCUUCUUUCAUUUUUACUAAUUACUCUUCAUCAUUCAGUGGAUGCAAAUGCUAGGUGCAUUCUUUUCACAUUACUAAAUUAUUUCUAUUUGUGUGAUUUUCCUUGCAUUGUAUCCCAUUGAAAAAAAGUACUUAAAAAAUAUUGCCGCUUACAAAUUUUUAGU